rnacentral:rRNA from 1 species
UGCCAGCCGCCGCGGUAAGACAGAGGGGGCUAGUGUUAUUCGGAAUGACUGGGCGUAAAGGGUACGUAGGUGGUUUAGUAAGUUAAAAGUGAAAGCCCAUGGCUUAACUGUGGAAUUGCUUUUAAAACUGUUAAACUAGAGGUUGAUAGAGGGUAGUGGAAUUCCUAGUGUAGAGCUGAUAUUCGUAAAUAUUAGGAGGACCUCCAGAGGCGAAGGCGACUACCUGGAUCAAUGCAGACACUGAGGUACGAAAGCGUGGCGAGCAAACAGGAUUAGAUA